rnacentral:rRNA from 1 species
UCAGGAUGAACGCUAGCGGCAGGCUUAACACAUGCAAGUCAGGGGCAUCGGGAGUAGCAAUACUGCCGGCGACCGGCGCAAGGGUGCGUAACGCGUGAGCAACAUGCCCGUAUCAGGGGGAUAAUCCAUGGAAACGUGGUCUAAUACCCCAUAGUAAUUAUGUAAGGCAUCUUAUAUAAUUUAAAGCUUUGGUGGAUACGGAUUGGCUCGCGUGACAUUAGCUGGAUGGUAAGGUAACGGCUUACCAUGGCUACGAUGUCUAGGGGUUCUGAGAGGAAGGUCCCCCCACACUGGAACUGAGACACGGUCCAGACUCCUACGGGAGGCAGCAGUGAGGAAUAUUGGACAAUGGAUGGAAAUCUGAUCCAGCCAUGCCGCGUGCAGGAAAAGACGGCCCUAUGGGUUGUAAACUGCUUUUGUAUGGGAGCAAUAAGGGCUACGUGUAGUCCGAUGAGAGUACCAUACGAAUAAGCACCGGCUAACUCCGUGCCAGCAGCCGC